GGCACCAAAAAACAAAAACCAGUUCCAUAUUCUUGGUGGCCUUUGCAUGUAGCAUGAUAAAUAAAAAAAAAAAACAGAGAUAGAUAUUGUGGUUCAAAUUUCAAGCUGAAGGUGAGAGAAGCAAAGCAGUCAACCCACUAACUCUUACCUCUACCAAAUAGAUAUCAUGAGCGGAAGAUGGUUUGACCUACCCCUCAUGGUAAUGUUGGGGGACAACGUUGUACUGUUUCUUCCCCUAAAGGGUGAAAUAGUCACUUUUGGUCCAGUGAAGAUCCUGUGUCCAGGUGUGAAGAGGCCUGGAAUUGGAAAAUGACCCAAGGCUGUUUUUCUGCUGUGUCUGGUAAUCAUAUCUAUGCAGUCUGGUGUUCAACCUUGCAAUGAACCUUCCUUGGAGUAAAUAAGAGCACCCAUCUUGAGUAUCUACGGAAUAACUAAGGGGAAAUAUAGGGAGUAGAGGAGUACAUGAUUAAUGGUAUGGUGCUGAUCUGGCCAUGUCAAGGAGUUCAAGACUGCAGACACAUGGGAAAUUGGCAAAGUCAUUUUCUUAUAGAGGCAUGUCUCCAGAUGGAUGCAAGUUUUCAUUGAGGGUACGUGGGCAAUAGAAACAGCAUUCUAUAUCAACAAGUCUUAACUGACACAGGACACCACGUGUGUGGUGGUUUGAAUAAGAACGGUUCCCAUAGUAUAUUUGAAUGCUUAAUCAUCAGGGAAGGGUUAGGAGGUGUGACCUUGUUGAAGGAACUGUGUCACUGAGGGUGGGCUUUGAAGUUUCAAAAGAACAAGCCAGGCCCAGUGUCACUCAGUUUCUGCUGCUCAUGGAUCCAGAUGUAAAACUCUCAGCUGUUUCUCCAGCACCAUGUCUGCCUGUGUGCUCCCCUGUUCGCCUACCACAAUGAUAGUAGACUAAACCUCUGAAACUGUGAGUCCCAAUUAAAUGCUUUCUUUUAUAAAA